UCCCUGACAGUCCAGUGGCUACGACUCCAUGCUCUCACUCUUGAGGGCCUGGGUUCAAUUCCCGGUCUGGGAA
rnacentral:tRNA from 1 species